rnacentral:rRNA from 1 species
GUCUAUUUGGAGUUAUAAAAAGUUUAGCCUGCCCACUGAUAAAUAAUAUUUGAAUGGCCGCGGUAUUUUGACCGUGCAAAGGUAGCAUAAUCGUUAGUUUUUUAAUUGGAAUCUUGUAUGAAUGGUUGGACAAAAGAAAGCCUGUCUUUAUAUUACUUAUCGAAUUUAACUUUUAAGUGAAAAGGCUUAAAUAUAUUGAAGGGACGAUAAGACCCUAGAAAGCUUAAUAUUAAAAUACUAUUUAGUUAAUUUUUUUAUAAAAACAUAAUAGUUGAAUUUAUUUUAUUGGGGCGAUAAAAGUAAAAUGAUUUCUAACUGCUUAAUUAUAAAUACAUUCAUAAAUGAUUGGGAAAUUAAAUGAUCCUAAUUAAAGAUUAAAAGUUUAAGUUACUUUAGGGAUAACAGCGUUAUUUUUUUUAAGAGUACUUAUCGAAAAAAAAGUUUGCGACCUCGAUGUUGAAUUAAAAUGUCUUUAUAAUUGUAGCAGUUAUAAAAGUAGGUCUGUUCGACCUUUAAAAUUUUACAUGAUUUGAGUUCAAACCGGCGUAAG